CUAGCUGAGGGCCCCGGUUAUCCUUAGGUACGUCAGAGAAGGUAUCCCUGUCUGCGUCAGGGGUUCCACUCCAUUUGCAGUGUAAAGACGGGAGCAAGCUGAGGAGAGUAAGGGGCGCAAAACAACCCUUUCUUCCCUCCAUAUGCGGCAGGGGUAUUUUGGAAGGAGUUGCCAUGGUUACUCCUCUGGUCUGGGAUUUGUAACGUGAUAGCUGGCUGCCAAACCGCAAUCUCAAAGAGGGAGGAAUUGUGCUUGCGUUUGCGAGUGUUGUAUGAAAGGUCUGUCUGUGUGUCUGUAUACGUUGGGAAAGGAAACCAAGGGAAAUAUACUUUCUUUUAUAUCUUUUCGAGGUAUUAUGCACUUGUUUGUGGGUUUUCAAAGACCUUUCGAUGUUUUAUGACAGAACUGGUCAGGGUCGUACCUUGCUAUUUCAAAGGUUGUAGCAUUUCCCUGUGGAUUUCCUCAGCAACCUAAUGGCAAACAUACACACACACACACACACACUUUUUUUUUUUACCUUCAUCUCCCACCCACUUAGGGGCCUCCACUUAGCCAGCGUGGUGGAGGUGGUGGUGGGGUGUGUUUUACAACCCUGGUCAGGGAAAGCCCUGAGCAGUGGGCUGCCCGGCUAGUGAUUACUAGCUACACGUACCACACACACAUAGGCAUGGACACACACUCACGAAUGACUCACUACAGGGGAAUGUUUCCCUUGUUUUUGAAUGUCAUAAACUGUUCCCAUGGAAAUGGCAGUUACUCAGAGGGCCUGUUGACUUGACCACUGGGGUCUUAUUGAGAUUAGAGUUCUAUGGGAGAGAUGGACCAUUUGAUGCUCUGGUUAGUAUCCGUCAUCAUUGUAGUUUUUGUUGUAAUGUAAAGAUGUGUAUACCUGUAUCUAGGGCCUCAAAAAAUCUCUUUGAUUUAUUUGAAGUUAAGUCCCUAGCCUGCCUCCACACACAUGUGGUAUCCCUACACAUGCACGCACUCAGCAGUUACCCGGUUCCCUGACUUUCAAACCCAGAGAGGUCUGAAAGGAAUGAGGAUGAUGUCAUCAUCACCUGCAGUUGUGAAAGAGGUUAACCAGCACUACAUGGGUCCAACAAGAAAAGAAAUCAUCUAAACCAGAAGGUUAAGCAACCAGAUUAUAAAGUAGCCUACGUUCAGCUGGUGAGAAAACAUAAACACACACACUUAUCCUUCUACUCCUAUCUCUUCUGGUUAGUGUGUAGUGUAGCUAUAGCUCACAGACUCCUACCCAGUACACAGUGCAAGGCAGAGACCUCACCACAAUAACGCUCUUUUUUUUUUUU